UACAGAGGUCUCAAGCGUUGUUCGGAUUCAUUGGGCGUAAAGGGUGCGUAGGCGGCGCGGUAAGUCGGGUGUGAAAUCUUGGAGCUUAACUCCGAAACUGCAUUCGAUACUGCCGUGCUUGAGGACUGGAGAGGAGACUGGAAUUUACGGUGUAGCGGUGAAAUGCGUAGAUAUCGUAGGGAAGACCAGUGGCGAAGGCGGGUCUCUGGACAGUUCCUGACGCUGAGGCACGAAGGUCAGGGUAGCAAACGGG
rnacentral:rRNA from 1 species